rnacentral:rRNA from 1 species
UACGUAGGGGGCAAGCGUUGUCCGGAAUCAUUGGGCGUAAAGAGCGUGUAGGCGGCCUGGUAAGUCCGCUGUGAAAGUCCAGGGCUCAACCCUGGAAUGCCGGUGGAAACUGUCAGGCUCGAGUCCGGAAGAGGCGAGUGGAAUUCCUGGUGUAGCGGUGAAAUGUGUAGAGAUCGGGAGGAACACCGGUGGCGAAGGCGGGUCUCUGGGCAUCUCCUGACGCUGAGGCGCGAAAGCGUGGGGAGCAAACGGG